UCUUGGAAAUUAAAAAUCCUGAGAGUGCGGACCUAAAAAUAUCCGUCAAAAAUACACAUAUCUUGGGACCUCAAAAUUAUGAGAGUGCCGACGAAGAAAAUACCGUCAAAAAUCAAAUAAAUAAAAAUCGUUCGAAAUGUAAAACUUUCAAGCCCGCCGUCUUUGAAUUAUUCGGCAAACAAAAGAUAAAUAAUAUAGGACAAUACACGGGAAACAAUAUCCGUAUGCUUUAUCUGUCACCGACUUUGUGAAUAGCGAAAUCAGUAGAAUGUUAUCAGAAGAAAUUAUAAGGCCUAGCCGAAGCCCUAACAGUUCACCAGUUCUGGUAGUCCCAAAGAUAUGAGAAAAUCAGGACGGAAGCCGUACCCAAUGCAAGACCCAUCAGUACCCAAUGCUAGACCCAUCAGUAAUUCUUUUUAAUUUGGGGAAAGCAAGAUAUUUUCAACAAUAUAUUUAGAAUCAGGUUUUCAUCAGAUAUUAAUGAAAGAAUCUGAUGUCAAAAAAAAUCUUUUUCAAUAAAUAAUGGCAAAUACGAAUUUUUAAGAAUGCCAUUCGGAUUAACAAAUGCACCAACAAUUUUUCAGCGAGCAAUGGACGGCAUUUAAGAGAACAAAAUGGACGACAUUAUAAUAUUUUCAAAUUCGAUUGAACAACAUUAUGAAGUCUUAAACAAAAUUAUAAAUAUACUUUUAGGGCAAACCUGAAAAUCUCUUUGGAAAAAUCAAAGUUUUUUAAACGCGAAACCUGUU